ACAGGAAGGUCCAUGUGUAUAAGAACGGUUCUGAUCAGCCUGUAGAACAGAACCAGUUCUACAGCAACAGAACCAAGAUGAAUGAAGACCUGCUGAGAACUGGAGACCUCAGUCUGACUCUGAAGCGUCCCACAGAGAGAGACAUUGGAGAGUACAGAUGUGGAGUCUGGAAGGACGACCAACCACUGAGAUGGAAAACAUUUCAUCUCACAGUCAAAGCAAAGAGAGUUUCGGUCAAGAACCAACCAGAGAAUAUCAGGACCAGAACCAUUGACCCGACUCCUCUGAUGGCUGAUCAAUCAGUCUGAUCUGUUUGUUCAUCAAUGAUUUGUUCUUGAUCUAAUCGGACCUUGGUUCUGAGAGAAGGUUCUGAUGGAUGAAGAACAGAGGACUCUUCAUCAGCUGCUGCCUCUGAGUCCAGUCUGCAGACUCUGUAUUGAUCAGGAUUAAUGACUGAGAGCUUGAAGCUGGUUCUGGUAGCAGAAUCUGACCCAAACUGAGAGUAAAACAGUCAGGAGGAUGUUUCCAGUCAGAGACCAGAACCAUCUUAGGUUCUGUGUGGCCCGAUCCAGCAGCUGUGAUCCUCCUGAAGAACCCUGACCCAGAACCCUGAUCCAGAACCAGCCUCCAGCUCCUGAGGAACAUUCUCUCCAUCAUUAUUUUCUGUUUAGUUCACAUCCAGACCCAGAAAAAGUUUAAAUGGUGGAAAGGUGAAACUUUUGGUGCCUUCAGGGUUUCUGUCAGAUCCAGUUUUCCUCCAAAGUCAGGAUAGAAGUUCUGAGCUUUAGUUUGAUUCUCUAGCAGAGAGAGGUGGUUCUGGUCCGUCAUCAGAACCUCAUUUCUCAGCAGCAGCUCACAUCUUCACUCAGUAUUUCUGAUGUUUAGUCCGGCUUCAGCCCAGGAUUUAAACUCUGAUGAAGCUUUUCUAGAUCUGUUACUUUCAGCUGUUCUAGUUUAGAUUUAGCUUUAGGUCUGAUUGUUAGGAAUUAAACUAUUAUUAGGAUUAGUCAUGAUGAACUGAUUAUUU